rnacentral:rRNA from 1 species
AACGAACGCUGGCGGCAGGCUUAACACAUGCAAGUCGAACGCAUCCUUCGGGGUGAGUGGCAGACGGGUGAGUAACACGUGGGAACGUACCUUUCAGUUCGGAAUAACCCAGGGAAACUUGGGCUAAGACCGGAUACGCCCUUUUGGGGAAAGAUUUAUCGCUGAGAGAUCGGCCCGCGUCUGAUUAGCUAGUUGGUGAGGUAAAGGCUCACCAAGGCGACGAUCAGUAGCUGGUCUGAGAGGAUGAUCAGCCACAUUGGGACUGAGACACGGCCCAAACUCCUACGGGAGGCAGCAGUGGGGAAUAUUGGACAAUGGGCGCAAGCCUGAUCCAGCCAUGCCGCGUGAGUGAUGAA